ACGAAAGAUUGACGAUUGGUAAGAAUCCACAACAAGUUGUUCUUCAUAGAUGUAUCUGAGGGUCUGUAGCUCAGUUGGUUAGAGCACACGCUUGAUAAGCGUGGGGUCACAAGUUCAAGUCUUGUCAGACCCACCAUGACUUUGACUGGUUGAAGUUAUAGAUAAAAGAUACAUGACUGAUGAUGUAAGCUGGGGACUUAGCUUAGUUGGUAGAGCGCCUGCUUUGCACGCAGGAGGUCAGGAGUUCGACUCUCCUAGUCUCCACCAGAACUUAAGAUAAGUUCGGAUUACAGAAAUUAGUAAAUAGAGAUUUCGGUCUUGGUUUAUUAACUUCUGUGAUUUAAGUAUCACGGUAUUAAGCAUGACCUGACGAAGGCGUGUUUAUUCAUUAACAGAUUGGCAAAAUUGAGUCUGAAAUAAAUUGUUCACUCAAUAACAAAGAGAGAUGAAGUAAUUCUGAUCUUGGAGUUAAUUGAGAACUAGCAAAUUAACUGAAUCAAGCGUUUUGGUAUAUGAAUUUAGAUUGAAGCUGUACAGUGUUUAAGUACACAGUACUCUAAACUGAAAUGUUGAAGUUACUAACUUGUAGGUAACGUCGACUGUUUGGGGUUGUAU
rnacentral:tRNA from 1 species